rnacentral:rRNA from 1 species
AUUGAACGCUGGCGGCAGGCUUAACACAUGCAAGUCGAGCGCACAGCGGACGGGAGAGUAAUGUCUGGGAAACUGCCUGAUGGAGGGGUAUAACGACUGGAAACGGUAGCUAAUACCGCAUAACAUCAACUGUGCCAAGAGGGGAUUAGCUAGUAGGUGGGGUAAUGGCUCACCGAGUCGACGAUCCCUAGAUGGUCUGAGAGGAGGACCUGCCACACUGGAACUGAGACACGGUCCAGACUGCUACGGGAGGCAGCAGUGGGGAAUAUUGCACAAGGGGCGCAAGCCUGAUGCAGCCAUGCCGCGUGUGUGAAGAAGGCCUUCGGGUUGUAAAGCACUUUCAGCGAGGAGGCGUUACUCGCAGAAGAAGCACCGGCUAACUCCGUGCCAGCAGCCGCGGUAAUUC